rnacentral:misc_RNA from 1 species
UACGUAGGUGGCAAGCGUUGUCCGGAUUUACUGGGUGUAAAGGGCGCGUAGGCGGGCUUGCAAGUCAGUUGUGAAAUACCGGGGCUUAACCCCGGGGCUGCAAUUGAAACUGUAAGUCUUGAGUGUCGGAGAGGAAAGCGGAAUUCCUAGUGUAGCGGUGAAAUGCGUAGAUAUUAGGAGGAACACCGGUGGCGAAGGCGGCUUUCUGGACGAUAACUGACGCUGAGGCGCGAAAGUGUGGGGAGCAAACAGG